rnacentral:ncRNA from 1 species
UGCGUUAUACUUUCGCAGGAGACUGCCUUCGUAAGAGGGAGGAAGGAAGGGAUGACGUCAAAUCAGCAUGGCCCUUACGUCCAGGGCAACACGCAUGAUACAAUGGCAGGUACAGAGGGUAGCCAAACCGCAAGGUGGAGCCAAUCCCAGAAAACCUGUCCCAGUUCGGAUUGGGGUCUGCAACCCGACCCCAUGAAGCCGGAAUCACUAGUAAAGGCGGAUCAUCACGCCGCCUUGAAUACGUUCUCGGGUCUUGUACUCACCGCCCGUCACGUCAAGAGAGUUGGUAACACCCGAACGUCGGCGUAGGCCGUCGGAAGGUGGGAUCAGCGAUAGGGACGAAGUCGUAACAAGGCAUCCGUAGCGGAAGCUGUGGAUGGAUCACCUCCUUU